UGCAAUGUACCGUGACAUACCGUGCCGUAUAUGAAAAUUAGCCCGUUCUUGAAGGUUUACCUCCAGCAAAAUGAGCAUUCGGCUUCGAGGUAGAAAAGGCACGGAAUGGAAAUCUGUUUUCGGUUCUUUCGAAAAGGGCCACCGCCCAAUCUAAAUGGCCACGCCAACGAAAGAUGCUGCUGCUAAUGCCUUUCGGAUGGAGAGGAAAUUGGGUACUUCCAGACGCUCCAUUCCCAUUCUCUUCAAUAAAACUUCUUAAUCCUCGACGGAGAUCGCGCGACACCAUCACAAAUGGCCGCGCUAAAGCUAAUGAGCGCCGGAUUCUCGAAAGUGUGGUGUCGUCCGUGGCGUGGCUCUGAAAGUGUUUUACCUGCGCUUCCUCGGCGAAAAGCAGAAGCAAAGCAGAUGCUAGAGCCAGUAUGCUGCUGAUGCUGCUGUUGCUGUUGAAUAGCACAGCGAUAGGUGGCUCAUUAUAAUGAUGGUGACGGCGGUAGUGGUGCCCGGUGUCUGAUCUGCUCGACCUAGCGCGUAUAGGCAAUAGCAAAAAAACAAAACAGGAAUAGAGUAGAAAUUUGCGACAAUCAUAAAGAAGAGUUUCUCAUAAAAAGCGCCACCAAAACGCCAACUUUUCAAGCCAGAUUGCUUCUUGGGCCCUAUCUUGGGCCUACAACUGGGCUCACCCCGAGUUUAUGGGAUGGAAUCAGUGCUCUUGCUGCUGUUGCUGAUGGAUGGAGUUUUAUAGCCAACCAUUUAAGCUUUAGCUUCGUUCUUUAUUCUCGAGGCCUCUAUCUGUAUCUUUCUAUCUCGGGGCUUUUCUCUUCGACGGGUCCAUCUUUAUUGCUUCCUCGAAAUCACAAUUUCGCGAUCUGCUGCCGCGAGUCUACUGCUGCUUGUUGGUUUUUUUUUUGGGGCGUUGGAGUUAAUAGCGAACGUCAGCUUGCCAGCCAGAGCGAUUCAGAUUCAGAAGUGGAAACAGAUUUAGGAGAACUAGCAGCUCGUGAAAAGAAGUGAUACCUAAAGACCGAAAGACCGAAAGGUGUGGUAGAACAUUUUGAGAAAUUGUAAAGAACACAACAUCAAUCAAGAAGAUCUAGAAAGAGAGACAGAGAGCUUCCUCUCUCUUUCUCUCUGUCUCUCUUUCCAAGCGAAUAAAAAAGAAAAAGAGGAGGAUUAGGAUUUUUCUAGUUGCUCUGGUGAGGAUUUUGUGGAGGAGAAAGGAAAGUAAAAUGUGCUCUCUAUUUCAUCAGCUACUUGUAGGCGACGUCAGCUCUUAUCAGCACACGGAAGCGAGCGAGUGUUUAUCGAUUUGUGUUUUUUUUUUCUGAUGCAACAUUUUGAAUUUUUUCUUGAGUAAAAAACACGGCCUACUGCGUUUGUUUGUGGAAAAGCCAAAACAUGCACCCUCUUCGUGAUUCUCUGAUUCGUGAGCGGAUGAAGCAAUAGAUGAAACAAUGCCAGCGAAAAAUCGAUGCCCCAUGCUUAUGCUCACCCCAAGACCUUUUCCUGCAUCUAAUGCCAGCGCCCUGCACACAUUCACACCGGAAUGGAAAACUAUUUCAACAAUCUUAUCGCUUCUCCACGGUUACCUAAACACAUCUUUUCGGAACUCUUUCACGCGAUUAAUGAUUCUCGGACCUCAGCGUGAUUUAGCCGUAUGUUUGUUUUAUUUAUCCGUUCUGUUUUUCCAGUUUUCCCAGUUUUCCUUCUCACACCUCCCAGGGGACAGGAAGGGAGCUACCCUUUUAUGUCUUUCUUCUCCCACAUCUCCACUCAUCCCCUUUGGCGUUCGCCAUGUGCCGCGGGACUAGAAAAACGUUCGCUUGACAGGCGUUUUGUGCGUUGUAACUGUUUUUUUCUCGCUACCUUUUUUUAAUGCUCCGAGUUCCUUCCUGUGUCGUGGUGAAGACUCUCUUCUGCCCUCUGGUAGUGCACCAGUUUUGCCUCUGCAAUCCAUCGUUGCUGUUCCGGUUAGCUAGCCACGGGGCCAGCCGAGGUGGGACCGGCGAUGAUGGCUACGUGACCGUAACUACACCGUGUGUGUGUCUCUAUACCUCGACGCAUGACUCACUUCGAACGGGGAUUGCGUGAGCGUGUCUCUCUCUCUCUCUCUCUGGUGGUGCUGCGAAAUGCCUCGAGGAAUUCUUUGCUUGAAGGAAUUUACUUUCUACGCAAGAAUCUACACUUUGAAGCUGAUUUUCUAGCGAUUACACAUGAGCGAUUGCAAGGCACCAGAGGAGAAUAAUCGACGACUCUUCCGGGCCGGAAAGAGAGCUCUACCAGAUCCAUUUCUACAUUUAAUCCAAAACACUGCUGCUGCUGCCGCUACUCCAGCUGAUCUCAUUUCCAGCAGCCCGCAUUUCCCACUCCACCACGCAUAACUAUCUGUAAAUAUUUUAAUUUAAGUCAAUUAUCGUCAAAUGGUCAGCUGCUGCUGCUUCAAUUGGAAACUAGAACUGGAAUACGAAUUGACUUGGAAGUAGAUGGUUUAUGCGUUCCCAGGGCGAACUGCAGCCUUGCAAGACCAUCAUUGAUCGGGUGCCUCAAAAAACCAAAUUAUUUUAUGCCGUUUGAAAGCCGCAUCAGGCAGCGAUAUGCAUGACUCGAGCGAGUGAGAGAUGUGAGCAUAAUUAUCAUAAUUUAAACGAGACUACGGUGAUGGCCGGGGCCUAAAAACCUUCGACUUCGCCUCCGUGUAAAACCAAACAACCAAACAUACGGUCCAUGUGGGGCACCAAUAAAACAUGUAUUGCAUGUA